AGCUCCGGGAGCCGCAGCAGCGGUGGGAGCAGCCUCGUUCCGCCUGCCCUGCGCUCCUCCCCGGCACCAGGGACACGGACACGCGGUGGGAGCAGCCUCGUUCCGCCUGCCCUGCGCUCCUCCCCGGCACCAGGGACACGGACAUGCGGUGGGAGCAGCCUCUUUCCCCCUGCCCUGCGCUCCUCCCCGGCGCUCCCGUGCACCAGGGACGCGGACACGCGGCCCCCGGGCGGGCGGGCACGGCCCGGGCACACGCGGGAUGCGGUUUGUCCCUGCCAGGGUCACACCCGGGACGUGGUCUGUCCCUGCCAGGGUCACAAUUAGCACCUUCAAGAGCCCAGGGGAAGGUUUGGGGUCAGUAGAGUGCUGUCCCGUGCCUGUCCCUCUGUCCUGAUGCCGCCUCUGUCUGUCCCUCCUCAGCAGGAGUUUCCCAGCGUGCAGGGGCUGUGGCACGGGCAGGAGCCGCCUCUCUCGUGUUUGCCAUGGAAAUUCCAGAGGGAAGAGGCUCAGGAGCUGCCUCUCUCCUGUUUGCCAUGCAAAUUCCAGAGGGAAGAGCUCGGGCAGGGCUGGGCUGGCCCACACUUUGCACGGGACAGGAGGAGGGGGGUGAGCUCCGGCUUUGCUGCAUCCCUCAGGUGUUCCCAGAGAUCUGCACUCGUCCCCUCCCCGCUGGGCACUGCAGGACCCACGCCUUCACCACCCCCUGUCUGGCCCCAGAGCUGGGCUCUGUCCCCCUGCAGAGAGGAAAGAGGCCAGAGAGCUCCUCGGACACUGCCCACAGCACACAGCCAGCACCCGCUCAUUGCCACCAAACCCAAAACCCCGGAGCACUGGGGGGUCCUGCUGGGACCCUCAGCCUCACCCCACCCCUUCCCCUGCUGCCUUUCCAUCUCUGGCACAGCACCACGAGCCCUCCUCCUGCUGCAGGGCCCAUCCUUGGGGCAGCCCGUGGAAGGGGCACGAAGAGCUCGGUUCCCCACAUUUCCUGAUGUCAUUAAACACCGAAACGCAGCAGACAGAAACCCUCAGAGCAGCAGGGAACUGCCAAAUUCCCCCAGACAACGUCAGCUCCUGGCCACAGAGAGAGGAAGAGCCAGGUAUGACCCUGCUCACACAAAGCCUUCAGUCAGAAGACUGGGGGGAAAGGGAAGGACCAAACUGAAGCAGAGAAAGAAGCUCUUGUGUGGCAGGUUAAUCCAGGUCACCCACCUGAGCAGGACACUCUGGAGCACCUGAAGGAAAAAUCCUGGUGCUGUGGUGGGUCCUGGAAUUGUCUCUGCCAAUGACUCUGAGCCUUUCCCUGCUCCCAGGUCAGCUCCUCGGGGGAGUUUUGGAGCCUCCUCCCCUGCCUCCCACCCAGUCAGGAAUUCCUUGACCCAAAUACUGCUCCUGUACUGGAAAUAAAUCAACUUUUAAUAUUUUACAAUUACUUUAAAA